rnacentral:rRNA from 1 species
GAUGAACGCUGGCGGCGUGCCUAAUACAUGCAAGUCGAGCGAACAGACGAGGAGCUUGCUCCUCUGACGUUAGCGGCGGACGGGUGAGUAACACGUGGAUAACCUACCUAUAAGACUGGGAUAACUUCGGGAAACCGGAGCUAAUACCGGAUAAUAUAUUGAACCGCAUGGUUCAAUAGUGAAAGACGGUUUUGCUGUCACUUAUAGAUGGAUCCGCGCCGCAUUAGCUAGUUGGUAAGGUAACGGCUUACCAAGGCGACGAUGCGUAGCCGACCUGCAAGGGUGAUAGGCCACACUGGAACUGAGACACGGUCCAGACUCCUACGGGAGGCAGCAGUAGGGAAUCUUACGCAAUGGGCCAAAGCAUGACGGAGCAACGCCGCGUGAGUGAUGAAGGUCUUCGGAUCGUAAAACUCUGUUAUUAGGGAAGAACAAAUGUGUAAGUAACUAUGCACGUCUUGACGGUACCUGAUCAGAAAGCCACGGCUAACUACGUG